UUAAAAGUUUAUUAUUUACUCAUCUAACACCUAAACUUAUCUAUUUAUACACAUACCACUUAAAAGCACUUUGUCUUUCUAAAAUACCACACCCUUUACUCUCUCCGUGAAAACCAGCCCGAUUUAGGGUGGACGAAAGGGGCAUUCCGUCCAGUCGUGGGAGUAGGCUCGAGAAGAAAGAAAGACAUUUUUUGGUUGGUUUUUCUUACACGGAAUACAGAAUAAGGUAUUCUCUCUGUGAAAUGGGGUUUGAGAAAUUGGGGAACGGGAAGGAGCGACGAAGGGGGACUCAGAGCUUGUUGAGGAGGAAGCAGGUGGAUUCCUAUCGGGUGAAGGCGCAGGAGGGAGGUCACCAGCUCGCUAAAGAACUCUCUGUUCUCCAGCUCGUUGCAAUAGUUUCUUUUGGCGGAGGACGUUAAGGCUGCCAAAUGCGGCCACGAUCCUGAGCGGAGUUCGCCGAAGAAUAGUCUCGGCCCUUUGGAGUUUCUUUCGAACAGACAGCCGAGAGCAGAGAGGGAGCAAGCAGACGAUUUUCAUGAACAGGAAGCUGAGUUUCGCGAUUAUUGGGCGGGUUUUGACGGAGGAAGCAGACGGAAUGGUAUUUUAGAAAAUGAAAUAAGUUUUAGGUGGUAUGUGUGUAAAUAGAUAAGUUUAGGUGUUAGAUGAGUAAAUAAGAAACUUUUAAGUGUUAUGUA